rnacentral:rRNA from 1 species
GAUGAACGCUGACAGAAUGCUUAACACAUGCAAGUCUACUUGAAUUUGGGUUUUUUAACUUCGAUUUGGGUGGCGGACGGGUGAGUAACGGGUAAAGAACUUGCCUCACAGCUAGGGACAACAUUUGGAAACGAAUGCUAAUACCUGAUAUUAUGAUUAUAGGGCAUCCUAGAAUUAUGAAAGCUAUAUGCGCUGUGAGAGAGCUUUGCGUCCCAUUAGCUAGUUGGAGAGGUAACGGCUCACCAAGGCGAUGAUGGGUAGCCGGCCUGAGAGGGUGAACGGCCACAAGGGGACUGAGACACGGCCCUUACUCCUACGGGAGGCAGCAGUGGGGAAUAUUGGACAAUGGACCGAGAGUCUGAUCCAGCAAUUCUGUGUGCACGAUGACGUUUUUCGGAAUGUAAAGUGCUUUCAGUUGGGAAGAAAAAAAUGACGGUACCAACAGAAGAAGUGACGGCUAAAUACGUGCCAGCAGCCGCGGUAAUACGUAUGUCACGAGCGUUAUCCGGAUUUAUUGGGCGUAAAGCGCGUCUAGGUGGUUAUGUAAGUCUGAUGUGAAAAUGCAGGGCUCAACUCUGUAUUGCGUUGGAAACUGUGUAACUAGAGUACUGGAGAGGUAAGCGGAACUACAAGUGUAGAGGUGAAAUUCGUAGAUAUUUGUAGGAAUGCCGAUGGGGAAGCCAGCUUACUGGACAGAUACUGACGCUGAAGCGCGAAAGCGUGGGUAGCAAACAGG